UUGCGUCGUAUUCGUCACUGCUGAGUGA
rnacentral:sRNA from 1 species